CCUACGGGUGGCAGCAGUGGGGAAUAUUGCGCAAUGGGCGAAAGCCUGACGCAGCGACGCCGCGUGAGGGAUGAAGGUCUUCGGAUCGUAAACCUCUGUCAGCAGGGAAGAACGGUCACUGUGCUAAUCAGCAGUGAAUUGACGGUACCUGCAAAGGAAGCACCGGCUAACUCCGUGCCAGCAGCCGCGGUAAUACGGAGGGUGCGAGCGUUAAUCGGAAUUACUGGGCGUAAAGCGCUCGUAGGCGGUAUGGCAAGUCAAGGGUGAAAUCCCCGCGCUAAACGUGGGAACUGCCUUUGAAACUGGCAAACUGGAGUGUGGGAGAGGAUAGUGGAAUUCCAGGUGUAGGAGUGAAAUGCGUAGAUAUCUGGAGGAACAUCAGUGGCGAAGGCGACUAUCUGGCACAUAACUGACGCUGAGGAGCGAAAGCGUGGGUAGCAAACAGGAUUAGAUACCCCAGUAGUC
rnacentral:rRNA from 1 species